AAUGAACAGCCCCAUCUGAUUUAAGCACUGCGCCGUGACCAUGAACUCUACGGUUACCUCUGUGUGUCACAGGAAGACUCUUAACGAAUGCUCCCAAGUUGACCUAAGCAGUGUUCCACGGUCACCAGGUUUCUGGUUGCCUCUGUGUUGGAAGCUUGGAGACCAAUGUGAGUAUAGUCAAAGUUCUCGCCGUGGUUCUAGGGUUUUUAAAGGGUAUUCAUUGUUUUACUAAAAGCAUUACAGAUAAUCCAAAAGGUUAACCGCGGUCCAGUGAUAAAUAUGGCAUUACCACGAAGCAUGCUAAUUGUCUAAUAUUUACAAAAUUAAAAAUAAUUCAUGAUGAAAUCACUGUGACAGAUGAUCCUGUAGAUAGCUAUAAAGUAUUUCUUAUUCUUAAGUUUUUGCAACGUUAUUUGAUUAUUAUAUUAUGUGUUUGAAACUCAGUGGUCCCACACAGGGAUAAUCUAGUCCUCUGGUUCUAUUGGACAUGAUUCUAUAGACAGAUGGUACAUAUAUGUAAGGAUCAUAUUCUUGAUUUUUGUGUUCACAGAUUUUGAUUCUGUUGUUAUAACUGGGUAUAUUAAAAUUAUAAAAAUUAUCAACAAGCAAAUAUAAAUAAAUACAGCAGGUGAAGCAUCAUCCAGUUAUUAAAAUAUGUUACGAGGCAAUAAAACCUAUUAAUAUAUAUUAGAAGAUAAUAGAUUAAGCAAGACAUGGUUUAAAGGUGUAACUUCUUUGACUAACAAUUAAGUAGUAAGUACAAAUAAUAAGUACUAUUACUAUAGAUCAUUGGAAUAAUCAAUAAACAAGUACAAGUAAAUCAAUAGAAGUAAAAUAUGACCUAAUUAUGCAUAGUAACAAUUCCUAAAUGAUGGAGUAAAUAAACAAAAUGUGGAAAGUGAGACCAACGCAGAUGUCUCUAUGUUAAAAAUCCCCUCGUUUGCUUUGUGCUCCUGGGAAUGGGCGCCUUUGAAAGGAUUGCGCUUGCCCUGUGUGUUCGGCCCACUGAAACCGACUACUUCUCAGAACGGGCAGAGCCACGCCUUCUGCGGAGAUCCCUCUCUGCGGUUGCCUCCGGGUGGGAGCCUGGACACUAAUGGAGGUAACAGUCAAUCUUCUUGUCAUAUUUUUGUAUUUGUUUAG
rnacentral:lncRNA from 13 species